UAGUCUUACAGUUAUAUGUUUUAUGCUUUUCCUAAGGAAAUCUUUUCAUUUUUUCAUUCCUUUGUUCAAACACAUGUUGUGCUUGCUCUACAGGAAAGAAUAAUGUAUCUGAUGUUUGACACCUGAGUUCUGAUCCCAGCUUUGACACUGAGUACAUAGCCCUAGGAAGCCGGGUAUCUCCUACAGCCCCAAAUUUCUUCAUAUGUAAAGUGGAGGCAAAUAUUCGUAUUGGGGUUUUUGAGGAAUAAGUGAGCACUGUGGAUCUCAUGGAGAUGCCAGGAUGAAUAAGCAGGGGCCUGACAACUGAGGAAUGGACAAUCUGAAGACCUCAGCUCAUGUGUGAAUCCAGAACGGAUGCAGAUGGUCAAGGAGAAAAGGAAACUCUCAUUCACUGAACAUGAUUCCAUGCCAGACAGUGUGCCAUGGAUCCUUGUCAUGGUGGGAGGCAAGUAUGUUAGCCCAAUUCUACAAUAAUUCAGCUACUAAUAAAACUACAGGAAUAACAGUGUGGAGCAUUUUUAUAGCCGUCGAUCAUCACAGCAACACUAAGCAGCAGAUAGGACAGAUUUACUAUUAUUAUUCUUGUUUUAUUGAUGGUCAAGACUUGAGGAAGCCAAAUCAAUGGCCCCAAGUCCCAAGGCAUCAGCUCAGGACCCAGAACAAGGCCCUCUUGCUCCAAGUCCACUGUCUUUGACAAUAUCCAACACAGCACAGCAUACACGUCAAACUAAAAGAGACAUAUGAUCAUUAAGGAAAACUUAGUGAACAAGAUUUGAACCUUUCUGAAAACUGUAAAGGAAAGGUCUGUACAGUCACCACCAAACAGUGCAGAAUAUUAUUACAUCUCAAAAACCAUGGAAGUAUGCCGGCAUUGCCUGGGAACAGAUAUCCUCAGGGCCUUUGUCGUCUGGAGGUGGAAAUGUGUGUUGAGGUCAGGGAGAGGAGCUCCUGUCAGCAGGAAGAACCAUUGCUAUUUCUGUUCAGGACAAAACAAAAAUGACAUCUGUCAAGGCCAUUAUUCUUUCAAAUGUGGCUGGGAUGAAGAAGUGAUAAGGAUGAGUUUGUAAUACUCCCUUGAGAACAGAAAAUCUCAAAUCCAGAAUAUGGAGUUUUAAGAGCUGUACAGUGCUUUAGAAAUCAUUCGUGAAAGCCGGAAAUAAAACCUGGGCCUUGAAAUUAAGAGAAAAUCCCAACUUCAAGCCCACACUCUGCUCUGUUGUCUCCAAAGCCCAGUUUUUGCACCUGUAAAUGAGUCUAUCAUAAACGAACAUGAGUCAAUACACAUGAAAGCACUUUGAGAACUAGAAAGCUCUUUGCAAAAUUAAGAUAUUUCAAAAAAAUUAAUAGAAAAAAGAUCCAGAUUUGUCCAGCUAUUAGUAUUAGAGAAAUGGAUAUGAACUCAGGAUUACAGACUGCAGUUGAAUACUUAUUCCAUGACUCAAUAUUAUCACAGCAAUGUGAUGGAUAUUGCCCAUGUCCCUGGGAUUGGCACUGGGAUGAAGAGGAAACCACUAAGGCUGAUAUCUCCUUUGACUGCUGAAACGGCCAGGCUGGAAUGGUUGUUUCCAUUGUCCCAUCAGCUGCUGGUACUUACCUCUGACAAAUAACUUGUAACAUAUUGCAUAGUCCUUGUUUUUCUGCUUUUUGCCUAGAAUUUAAUAGAUUAUAUACUCCUUGAAGGAAAAUACUGUUCUAUUUAUAUUUCUUUACGUAUCAUCAAUAUAUACCAGAGAUUCCGGCCUGAAAAGAAGCUCUUUAAAUACAGAAUAAAUGGCUCCUACACUCCAGAAGCUCCUGCUCUAGUUAACAGGCCAGACUCCAACAGCAACUGCAAUGGAGACAAAACAUGCAUUAGAGAA
rnacentral:lncRNA from 10 species